CCUUAAAAAAAAAACCAACAACAAAGUUUCAUUUAAGAUACAUUUAGGCGCCUUUGAAGCUUGGAUUUUGGAAUGUUUCAGUAGUGGCCAGAAAUCUGCUGUUGGAAUCUUCUAGUCUUCCAGGUUUAAUUUGAAAUGUUUUUAGUUUUGUUUUGGAUUUUUGUGUGGUAUUUUAUUUCCUUUAUAUCAGUGCCCUUUUGCCAUGCUGUUUUGGGGUGGCUGCCUAACUCUAGUGAAAAUUCUUUCUAUAUUAACGGAAGUUUGGUGUUUUAAAUUCCUUAAUGUUUUGCAUUUUUUAAAAUUGUUUUUAAAGAAAUAUUCUAACUGCUUGCACUGUUACUGUUCUUUGCCAGCCUUUUCAGGAGCCAAAAAAACAAAAACAAACAAACAAAAAAAUACCCAGAGAAAAAACUUUCCUUCUUCCCCCUUCCUGAUGAUGAGUGAGAAGUAUUGAGAACUUUCGGGGUCAGUGCCCUUCUAAACUCCCCUUCCCCCAAUAAUGCAGCUGUAUAAUGAAUGGUAAAUGCAGCGGUUUGGAUUCAGGCACAGCCCCAGCCUGCUUGCAGGUGGCGUAUGUGUUCGUGUUUUAAUGUAUUCAGAGCCAUUGAGCAAUAAGCAGUCCAGAACAUUGAAAACUCAUGCAGCAGAGAGAUAAACUGGUAGGUGGCAGCAGAAGAAGGAAUUCUUCAGAUUGACCGCUACUGAAAGAAUCUACAUAGAAGAGAUAGAGCAUAACAUACCAAGUGAAGGAAAGGGGGCAAAAAAUGGAAACAGGACUAAAAUGUUUGGAUUUUGACUCUAAAUGGUUCUUUUGAAGUAACCAGUGAUCCUUUUUGCUUAUUACUUCAUUCACAGAAUGGACGAAGAUAGAUUUGACUGUAUGUUUUUUGAAAUGGAGUAUAGAAAUACCCAGAACAAGGAAGCAGUAGCUCUAACCUGUUUGAUUCGAUGUGUUUUCUAAAAUAAAAACACCAGAACUGGGAA